UGCGCGCUCCCGCCGGCGUCCGUCUCCGCACUCUCCCACCUCGCGGUGCUGCCCGGCCCGACUGCUAUUUCUUUCUCUGUUUGGGUACAGCUCCAGUCUUCUCGUCUCCGUCUGACCCUUCUGGGGGGCAUGUGUGCGAGCUCUCGUUCUGAUUAUCAGACAUUUCUUUUCCACUGUGUGGGCAGGAGACAGAUUUUUCCCCGCGAACUGUCUCCCGUCUCUUUUAUUCAUUUUAUUCUCUGUUUCUCUCCUUUCCCUCCUCCUGCCUUCCCGCCCGCCCCCCUCUUCUUUUUUCCUGAUUCCUCCUUCCCCCUUCAAUUUCACCAUCUCUCCUGCCCCCUCUCCCCGUGCCCCUUCCGCUCCCCGUGUGCCCUUUGAAAAUAAUUCAGUGAUGUCUCGGAAAUACUAGCACACUCUCCUCAUUCAUCCGAGCGCGGGACUCUGCGUUAAUUCAAGAAUUCUUCAAAGGAUUAAAGUUGCUUUCACUACUUGGUUAAAUCAGCUUUUCCCAAGAGAGAUAUUUCAGAGAUGUCACCACUAUAUGCAGGCACAGAGUGGAUGUCUGACCAACAUCUGAGCAAUGUUCUGUGAUGGUGCCCGACAUGCGUGGACUGAGCCCCGGCCGCAGGCUGCUGGAGCCCGCCCUCUGCCCGGCUGCGGGCGGGAGCCCUGAGCCCGGGGCCGAGGGCCGCCGCCGCCAUCGCCACGUCCUGGCCCUGCCCGAGGAGGAGGCAUG